rnacentral:lncRNA from 1 species
UCUCCAUGGAGGACCAAGGAUCCAUUUUGGGAUUUUUUUGACCCAAAAUUCUUCCUCAUUUUCAUCAUCAUCAUCAUUUUCAUCUUCAUCAUCUUCAUAAUCUUCAUCAUCUUCAUCUCCUCCAUCAUCUUCCUCUUCCUCCUCCUCCUCCUCAGCCCCUCCCUUUAAUCUUCAUCCCCUCCUCCUCCUCCAUCAUCAUCAUCAUCAGCGGGGCCUUCAUCGCCUCCACCACCACCAUCAUCAUCAUCAUCAUUGCCUCCAUCUUCAGCAUCGGGGCCUUCAUCAUCUCCACCAUCAUCAUCUUCAUCAUCAUCACCAUUGGGGCCUUCAUCACCUCCACUGCCACCAUCAUCAUCAUCACCUCCAUCUUCAUCACCUCCACCACCAUCAUCAUCGGAGCCUUCAUCACCUCCACCACCACCAUCAUCAUCAUCAUCAUCAUCAUCAUCACCUCCACCAUCAUCAUCCUCAGGGCCUUCAUCACCGUUUCCGGCCUCUCCCUCCUCCUCCUCCUCCUCAGCCCCUCCCUUCAAUCUUCAUCCCCUCCUCCUCCUCCUCCAUCAUCAUCAUCAUCAGCGGGGCCUUCAUCGCCUCCACCACCACCACCAUCAUCAUCAUCAUUGCCUCCAUCUUCAGUAUCGGGGCCUUCAUCACCACCACCAUCAUCCUCCUCAGGGCCUUCAUCGCCAUUUUUGGGUUCUUCCUCCUCAUCCUCGGGGCCUUCAUCACCUCCACCAUCAUCAUCAUCAUCAUCGGAGCCUUCAUCACCUCCACCAUCUUCAUCAUCAUCACCACCUCCAUCUUCACCAUUGGGGGCCUUCAUCGCCUCCACCACCACCAUCAUCAUCUUCACCUCCAUCUUCAUCACCUCCACCAUCAUCAUCCUCGGGGCCUUCAUCACCAUUUCCGGCCUCUCCCUCCUCCUCCUCCUCCUCAGCCCCUCCCUUCAAUCUUCAUCCCCUCCUCCUCCUCCAUCAUCAUCAUCAGCGGGGCCUUCAUCGCCUCCGCCACCACCACCAUCA